rnacentral:rRNA from 1 species
AUUGAACGCUGGCGGAAUGCUUUACACAUGCAAGUCGAACGGUAGAGGCGGCAACCCCUCGAGAGUGGCGAACGGGUGAGUAAUAUAUCGGAACGUGCCCAGUCGUGGGUGAUAACGUAGAGAAAGUUACGCUAAUACCGCAUACGAUCUAAGGAUGAAAGCGGGGGACCGUAAGGCCCCGAGCGAUUGGAGCGGCCGAUAUCCGAUGAGGUAGUUGUUGAGGUAAAGGCUCACCAAGCCAACGAGCUGUAGCUGGUCUGAGAGGACGACCAGCCACACUGGAACUGAGACACGGUCCAGACUCCUACGGGAGGCAGCAGUGGGGAAUUUUGGACAAUGGACGCAAGUCUGAUCCAGCGAUUCCGCGUGCAGGAUGAAGGCCCUCGGGUUGUAAACUGCUUUUGUACGGAACGAAAAGGUCUCUCCUAAUACGAGGGGCUCAUGACGGUACCGUAAGAAUAAGCACCGGCUAACUACGUGCCAGCCGCCGCAGUAA